AUACGGAGGGUGCAAGCGUUAUCCGGAAUCAUUGGGUUUAAAGGGUCCGCAGGCGGAUUAAUAAGUCAGUGGUGAAAUCCUCUCGCUCAACGAGAGAACUGCCAUUGAAACUGUUAGUCUUGAAUUCGGUCGAAGUAGGCGGAAUGUGUCAUGUAGCGGUGAAAUGCAUAGAUAUGACACAGAACACCGAUAGCGAAGGCAGCUUACUAGACCUGGAUUGACGCUCAUGGGCGAAAGCGUGGGGAGCGAACAGGAUUAGAAACCCCUGUAGUCC
rnacentral:rRNA from 1 species